rnacentral:rRNA from 1 species
GACAGAGGGUGCAAACGUUGUUCGGAAUUACUGGGCGUAAAGCGCGCGUAGGUGGUUUGUUAAGUUGGAUGUGAAAUCCCCGGGCUCAACCUGGGAACUGCAUCCAAAACUGGCAAGCUAGAGUAUGGUAGAGGGUGGUGGAAUUUCCUGUGUAGCGGUGAAAUGCGUAGAUAUAGGAAGGAACACCAGUGGCGAAGGCGACCACCUGGACUGAUAACUGACACUGAGGUGCGAAAGC